rnacentral:rRNA from 1 species
UACGAAGGUGGCAAGCGUUGUUCGGAUUUACUGGGCGUACAGGGAGCGUAGGCGGUUGGAUAAGCCCUCCGUGAAAUCUCCAGGCUUAACCUGGAAAGUGCAGAGGGGACUGUUCAGCUAGAGGAUGGGAGAGGAGCGCGGAAUUCCCGGUGUAGCGGUGAAAUGCGUAGAGAUCGGGAGGAAGGCCGGUGGCGAAAGCGGCUACCUGGCCCAUUCUUGACGCUGAGGCGCGAAAGCUAGGGGAGCAAACGGG